AAAGGAAUAGACGGGGGCCCGCACAAGCGGUGGAACAUGUGGUUCAAUUCGAUGCUACGCGAAAAACCUCACCAAGGUUUGACAUGCAAGAAGUAGUGAACUGAAAGGGGAUCGACCUGUUAAGUCAGGAGCUUGCACAGGUGCUGCAUGGCUGUCGUCAGCUCGUGUCGUGAGAUGUUGGGUUAAGUCCCGCAACGAGCGCAACCAUUAUCCUUUGUUGCCAUCUUAUUUCCAGCUUGCUGGAGGUAGGAGCACUCUAAGGAGACUGCCCGGGAUAACCGGGAGGAAGGUGGAGAUGACGUCAAGUCAGUACGGCCUUUAUGCCUUGGGCUACACACGUGUUACAAUGGUUAGGACAAAGGGUUGCCAACCCGCGAGGGGGAGCUAAUCUCAAAAACCUAGCCUCAGUUCAGAUUGAAGUCUGCAAUCCGACUUCAUGAAGCUGGAAUCGCUAGUAAUGGCAGAUCAGCACGCUGCCGUGAAUACGUUCCCGGGCCUUGUACACACCGCCCGU
rnacentral:rRNA from 1 species